rnacentral:lncRNA from 1 species
AGCCAAUCAGAAACUUCGCUGACGGCGUGGUGCUCGCCGCAGAGGAUGACUGGAUAAUUCUCUUAAAGGGCGUCUCGUUUCCAAAUAUGUAAAGUGACACACACGUGACGGGAAGUCUCCACAAGAGUCAACAGCGGGGAGAGAUGACUCACUCAUUUUUACCUGAAAAUUUCUCUAGGUUAACAAAUGAAAGAAUAGACGUGGAGCGUCUGACUGCUCAGUCAGAAGAAUGAAGAGCAAAAGGAGCAAAUCCUAUGCCGUCUCACCACAAAUGUUACGAAUCAUUGAAAAAAUACUGAAUUGUCUUUAAAUUUACUUAAAAUCAUCAUCUUUGAAUGUAGUCUUUUUUAAUGUUGCUUAAAAUCAGUUACAUGAGUAAAGUUUUUCAUACUAAAA